UACAUAUAAAGCAAGCGUUGUUCGGAAUUACUGGGCAUAAAGCGUGCGCAGGCGGCUUUGCAAGACAGAUGUGAAAUCCCCGGGCUUAACCUGGGAACUGCAUUUGUGACUGCAUGGCUGGAGUGCGGCAGAGGGGGAUGGAAUUCCGCGUGUAGCAGUGAAAUGCGUAGAUAUGCGGAGGAACACCGAUGGCGAAGGCAAUCCCCUGGGCCUGCACUGACGCUCAUGCACGAAAGCGUGGGGAGCAAACAGG
rnacentral:rRNA from 1 species